AUGAACGCUGGCGGCGUGCCUAACACAUGCAAGUCGAACGAAGCAAUUAAGAGGAAGUUUUCGGAUGGAAUCUUGAUUGACUGAGUGGCGGACGGGUGAGUAACGCGUGGAUAACCUGCCUCACACUGGGGGAUAACAGUUAGAAAUGACUGCUAAUACCGCAUAAGCGCACGCUACCGCAUGGUAGUGUGUGAAAAACUCCGGUGGUGUGAGAUGGAUCCGCGUCUGAUUAGCCAGUUGGCGGGGUAACGGCCCACCAAAGCGACGAUCAGUAGCCGACCUGAGAGGGUGACCGGCCACAUUGGGACUGAGACACGGCCCAAACUCCUACGGGAGGCAGCAGUGGGGAAUAUUGCACAAUGGGCGAAAGCCUGAUGCAGCGACGCCGCGUGAGUGAAGAAGUAUUUCGGUAUGUAAAGCUCUAUCAGCAGGGAAGAAAAUGACGGUACCUGACUAAGAAGCCCCGGCUAACUACGUGCCAGCAGCCGCGGUAAUACGUAGGGGGCAAGCGUUAUCCGGAUUUACUGGGUGUAAAGGGAGCGUAGACGGCGAAGCAAGUCUGAAGUGAAAACCCAGGGCUCAACCCUGGGAGUGCUUUGGAAACUGUUUUGCUAGAGUGUCGGAGAGGUAAGUGGAAUUCCUAGUGUAGCGGUGAAAUGCGUAGAUAUUAGGAGGAACACCAGUGGCGAAGGCGGCUUACUGGACGAUAACUGACGUUGAGGCUCGAAAGCGUGGGGAGCAAACAGGAUUAGAUACCCUGGUAGUCCACGCCGUAAACGAUGAGUGCUAAGUGUUGGAGGGUUUCCGCCCUUCAGUGCUGCAGCUAACGCAUUAAGCACUCCGCCUGGGGAGUACGACCGCAAGGUUGAAACUCAAAGGAAUUGACGGGGGCCCGCACAAGCGGUGGAGCAUGUGGUUUAAUUCGAAGCAACGCGAAGAACCUUACCAGGUCUUGACAUCGGAUGCAUACCUAAGAGAUUAGGGAAGUCCUUCGGGACAUCCAGACAGGUGGUGCAUGGUUGUCGUCAGCUCGUGUCGUGAGAUGUUGGGUUAAGUCCCGCAACGAGCGCAACCCUUAUCCUUAGUAGCCAGCAGGUAGAGCUGGGCACUCUAGGGAGACUGCCAGGGAUAACCUGGAGGAAGGUGGGGAUGACGUCAAAUCAUCAUGCCCCUUAUGAUUUGGGCUACACACGUGCUACAAUGGCGUAAACAAAGGGAAGCAAGACAGUGAUGUGGAGCAAAUCCCAAAAAUAACGUCCCAGUUCGGACUGUAGUCUGCAACCCGACUACACGAAGCUGGAAUCGCUAGUAAUCGCGAAUCAGAAUGUCGCGGUGAAUACGUUCCCGGGUCUUGUACACACCGCCCGUCACACCAUGGGAGUCAGCAACGCCCGAAGUCAGUGACCCAACCGAAAGGAGGGAGCUGCCGAAGGCGGGGCAGGUAACUGGGGUG
rnacentral:rRNA from 1 species